rnacentral:rRNA from 1 species
AGCGAACGCUGGCGGCAGGCUUAACACAUGCAAGUCGAACGGGCGUAGCAAUACGUCAGUGGCAGACGGGUGAGUAACGCGUGGGAACGUACCUUUUGGUUCGGAACAACCCAGGGAAACUUGGGCUAAUACCGGAUAAGCCCUUACGGGGAAAGAUUUAUCGCCGAAAGAUCGGCCCGCGUCUGAUUAGCUAGUUGGUGAGGUAACGGCUCACCAAGGCGACGAUCAGUAGCUGGUCUGAGAGGAUGAUCAGCCACAUUGGGGACUGAGACACGGCCCAAACUCCUACGGGAGGCAGCAGUGGGGAAUAUUGGACAAUGGGCGCAAGCCUGAUCCAGCCAUGCCGCGUGAGUGAUGAAGGCCCUAGGGUUGUAAAGCUCUUUCGGCGGGGACGAUAAUGACGGUACCCGCAGAAGAAGCCCCGGCUAACUUCGUGCCAGCCGCCG